rnacentral:rRNA from 1 species
GUAGCUGGUUCCCUCCGAAGUUUCCCUCAGGAUAGCGGGAGCAAGGUUCAGUUUUACCGGGUAAAGCGAAUGAUUAGCGGUUUUGGGGGCGCCUAGUCCUCGGCCGAUUCUCAAACUUUAAAUAGGUAAGGAGUGGGGGCUGCUUAAUUGAGCCCUCGCGGACAAUGAUUGCUCUCAGUGGGCCUGUUUUGGUAAGCAGAACUGGCGAUGCGGGAUGCUCCGAAAGCCGCGCUAAGGUGCCCAACUACACGCUCACUUAGAACCCAUAAAAGGUGUUGUUCCAUUAAGACAGCAGGACGGUGGCCAUGGAAGUCGGAAUCCGCUAAGGAGUGUGUAACAACUCACCUGCCGAAUGGAAUAGCCCUGAAAAUGGAUGGCGCUUAAGCGUGUGACCGAUGCGCGGCCAUUGCUGCAAGUUGCAGGCGGUAAUGAGUAGGAGGGCGUGGGGGUUGUUGCGAAGGCUAAGGCGUGAGCCCGGCUGGAACGGCCUCUAGUGCAGAUCUUGGUGGUAGUAGCAAAUAUUCAAGUGAGAACCUUGAAGGCUGAAGUGGAGAAGGGUUCCAUGCGAACAGUGUUUGGACAUGGGUUAGUCGUUCCUAAGAGAUAGGGUAACGCCGUGUUAAGGAGCCCUUGUGGCUCGCCUAUCGAAAGGGAAUCGGGUUAACAUUCCCGAACCGGGAUGUGGAGAGUAAGCGGCAACGCAAAUGAACUUGAGGACGUCGGCGGGAGCCCCGGGCAAGGUUGUCUUUCUUGUUUAACGCGCCCAACGCCCUGGAAUCAGAUUAUCUGGAGAUAGGGCUUGUCGGCCGGGAAAGUACCUCGAACUGUGAGGUAUCUGGUGCGCUCUCGACGGCCCCUGAAAACUCAAGGGAACGGAUGAAUUUCACGCCCGGACGUACCCAUAACCGCAUCAGGUCU